AACGUAGGGGGCCAGCGUUGCUCGGAAUUACUGGGCGUAAAGGGUCUGUAGGCGGUGCGGCAAGUCGGAAGUGAAAUCGCAGGUCCUAACUCUGCGGCUGCUUCCGAAACUGCCGUGCUCGAGUGUGAGAUAGGCGAGUGGAAUUGCAGGUGUAGCGGUGAAAUGCGUAGAUAUCGGGAGGAACACCUGUGGCGAAAGCGGCUCACUGGACCAUAACUGACGCUGAUGCACGAAAGCUGGGGGAGCAAACAGG
rnacentral:rRNA from 1 species